rnacentral:rRNA from 1 species
CCCUUAGAUGUUCUGGGCUGCACGCGCACUACACUGACGCACCCAACGGGUUUACGACCUUGCCUGGAAAGGUUGGGUAAUCCUACAAAAAUGCGUCGUGGUGGGGACAGAUUACUGCAAUAACUAAUCUUCAACGAGGAAUUCCUAGUAAGCGCGAGUCAUCAGCUCGUGCUGAUUACCUCCCUGCCCUUUGUACACACCGCCCGUCGCUCCUACCGAUUAAGUGAUCCGGUGAAUAGUUCGGACUGCUGCAAUGCUUGGAUCCCGAGAAUUGCGGCGAAAGUUUAGUGAACCUUAUCACUUAGAGGAAGGAGAAGUCGUAACA